rnacentral:rRNA from 1 species
GACGAACGCUGGCGGCGUGCUUAACACAUGCAAGUCGAACGAAGUGGCGAACGGGUGAGUAACGCGUAAUCAACCUGCCCUUCAGAGGGGGACAACAGUUGGAAACGACUGCUAAUACCGCAUACUGAAGGAGGGGAUUGCGUCUGAUUCGCUAGUUGGAGGGGUAACGGCCCACCAAGGCGAUGAUCCGUCGCCGGUCUGGGAGGAUGGACGGCCACAUUUGGACUGAGACACGGCCCAGACUCCUACGGGAGGCAGCAGUGGGGAAUCUUCCGCAAAGGACGGAAGUCUGACGGAGCACAGCCGCGUGAGUGAUGACGGCCUUCGGGUUGUAAAGCUCUGUUAAUCGGGACGCGGUACCGGAAUAGAAAGCCACGGCUAACUACGUGCCAGCCGCCGCGGUAAUUC